GGUAGCGUGGCCGAGGUGCUAAUGUGCUGGAUUUAGGCUCCAGUCUCUUCGGCGGUGUGGGUUUGAAUCCCACCACUGCCA
rnacentral:tRNA from 1 species